rnacentral:rRNA from 1 species
UACGAAGGGGGCUAGCGUUGCUCGGAAUUACUGGGCGUAAAGCGCACGUAGGCGGAUUGUUAAGUCGGAUGUGAAAUCCCCAGGCUCAACUUGGGAACUGCAUCCGAUACUGGAUGGCUUGAAUUCGGGAGAGGGAUGCAGAAUUCCUGGUGUAGCGGUGAAAUGCGCAGAUAUCAGGAGGAACACCAAUGGCGAAGGCAGCUCGCUGGGACGUGACUGACGCUGAGACGCGAAAGCGUGGGGAGCAAACAGG